rnacentral:rRNA from 1 species
CAGCAGCCGCGGUAAUACAGAGGGUGCGAGCGUUAAUCGGAUUUACUGGGCGUAAAGCGUGCGUAGGCGGCUUCUUAAGCCGGAUGUGAAAUCCCUGAGCUUAACUUAGGAAUUGCAUUCGAUACUGGGAAGCUAGAGUAUGGGAGAGGAUGGUAGAAUUCCAGGUGUAGCGGUGAAAUGCGUAGAGAUCUGGAGGAAUACCGAUGGCGAAGGCAGCCAUCUGGCCUAAUACUGACGCUGAGGUACGAAAGCAUGGGGAGCAAACAGGAUUAGAUACCCCCGUAGUCCCUGUCUCUUAUAC